UUGUUCUUGUAUGUACGAAAGCUAUGGCAAAGAUUCACGCAUGGAACGUCUUGGCAAUUUUCAUUGUAUUGGCCAUUCUGUCUACUGCUCAACAUAGAGUUGAUGCAGUUAAGCUUGGAUGUUCUGGUGGGGGACAGCGAGGACGGGGACUUCAACGGCACAAAACUCCUCGUACUACUCAAAGAACGCUUAGACCUUUCUUUCCCGGAUAACACCUGGAUACGGGCAGCAACGUUAAGAAUAAUUCAACGAGAAUCUCCGUGCAGAGAGCUCCAACUGGAGCUGAAGAUCAUCAGACCUGAACACACGCUACAGAUUAUAUGAAGAAUGGUUCACACGUCUUGGCACCCACUCCAAGAAAAACUGCGCAUAAGUGCUCACGUAAUACUGCCUAAUUAUGAAUUACUGUAUGCAGUCCAGUUUUUUUUUUUUACGUUACGUAUAAAAUAUAAAUAUUCGCCCAAUCUUUGUACUGCUUUGACAGGCUAUGAUUGUUUAACGAGAGAAAUCGUUAAUAUGAAACAUGCGAUUGCUAUCCGUGGCAACUUGUACUCGCAAUAUUUUUGUUUUCCGCUUUGCUUACGAAAAUGUAAUAAAUGAAUGACCUCAUACAA